ACUACAUUCUUUCUCCCACUCUCACAACUUUUCUCCCACCAUUAUCACACUCCAUAGAAGCCUUUGAAGCCCCAAGAGAAGUAGCAAAGCAAGGGAGAGUGUGGGAAAACUAUAGAGUGAAGGUUGUGCUUCGAGGGUCCGGGCGACAGAAAGUGAAGCCGAAGAAGAAACGACUCCACGCCAGCUUUAGGAACAAUUGAGGUUGAGCAGGCGAUGGAAUGGAUCGGUGUUGAGCGGAUUUCCCUUUUGAUGUUUAUGUAAUGAAACCUUGAGUAUGCAUCUCCAUAUGCAUAACUCACACGUUUUUUCGCUGCAAACACUCUGACUUAUUUAUCAUUUCUACUUGAACUUAUUACUACUUCAUUUUAAUUAACUUUCAGUUGGGGUCUAGUCGUUAUGGCAGACUCAUUUGUGAAUUACCCAAGUGGUUAUAUAUAUAUACCACUAGUUUGUUAUUAA